AGAGUUUGAUCAUGGCUCAGGAUGAACGCUAGCUACAGGCUUAACACAUGCAAGUCGAGGGGCAGCAUGUUGGUUGCUUGCAACCAAUGAUGGCGACCGGCGCACGGGUGAGUAACGCGUAUCCAACCUACCCUUGUCCAUCGGAUAACCCGUCGAAAGGCGGCCUAACACGAUAUGCGGUUCACAGCAGGCAUCUAAGGUGAACGAAAUGUGAAGGAGAAGGAUGGGGAUGCGUCUGAUUAGCUUGUUGGCGGGGUAACGCCUCCAAGGCUACGAUCAGUAGGGGUUCUGAGAGGAAGGUCCCCCCANAUUGGAACUGAGACACGGUCCAAACUCCAACGGGAGCA
rnacentral:rRNA from 1 species